GGUGCAUGUAGUUCAGUUGGUUAGAGCGUCAGAUUGUGGUUCUGAAUGUCGUGGGUUCGAGUCCCAUCUUGCACCC
rnacentral:tRNA from 1 species